AAUUCCAUUCCAGCCAGUACAAUGAGCCUGUCCUCCUAUAGCUCCCGCCAGCCUCCCCUGGUUUGAGCAUAGAAAUAGAAUGGGUGGUACAAUAUUGACAUGAAGAACACACACCCAAUAUGAACUUAGGUGUUCACUAACAUAAUAUUUCUAUGAACUAGUAUGAAAGUAGUAUGACACAGAAAUGCAAUCAGGAGUAAAGUCGGGGGCUUUCUUUUCCACCCCAGUUUAAUAGAUGGUAAAUCAAAUGUUCCAAAUGUUGCUAAAUCAGAGAUGUUGAAUUAGUAUUAAUUCAGUCUUAUCACUCAUCUUUCAGGUGAAGCAGGCAGCCUCCACAGACAUGGGUAACUACAGAAAAACAUAGCAGUAAAAUAUCCAGUUGACUGCAUUUAUGAGUGAACACAUAGGACUGGGACCAUAUGUCCUCUGCAUGAUUUACAUGUUAGAUUGGAUAGUCAGGUCUCCCCCAGUUAUCCUUGGCAUGCAGUGCAGGGUGGUACCCAAGUGUAUCCUGUCACGAGGCCUGGCAUCCUGCCGCUAUUCCAACUUCUUCUCAGCCAAGUCCCACCACCAUCGGCCACACCCAGAGACAAGGCCAUGCAGCCCGGGUCUCCAUACGCUACUACUGUACAUGCCAGAGGCCACAACCUCCAACACAAAGGUCCUGGAGGUCCGAGGGAGGAGCCCAGAAAGAGAAUACACAACAGGUGUAUCUGUAUCAAGCUCAACACCUGUGAGUGAGCAGGACCAGAGAGGACCUCCAGCAGCCUUUGAGAACCCACUGAGUUAACCUGGGGCAGAUGGCAACUCAUUCAUGCCGGACCUGAGGCACAUAAGUUACUGUCCUCUCCACAACAGCCAUAUGGACUUUUUAGUGUGUCUUUUUAUGCUGUACAGAGUAUAUGUUGGUAUACACAAUAUAUCACAGUACAUAUACAACAGAUGUGUAUGUUUUUAUUUUUUUCUAUAUCUAGGAAUGACUCCAGAUACAUAUCUCCCGCUGUUGUCCUGCCCCGGUUAUAACCCCUUUUUCCUCCCUCUCUUCUCUGUAGCCAUGACUGUCCAUGGGGGGACCAGACAGCGGCUUAGAUUAGAGGCAGGGCCCCUCAGAGAGAGCCGCUGGGGGGGAGGGGAGCAGGCAGGCGUGUGUCUGGUGGAGAUGCAGUAGCAGCGAGUCUGAACAACAACCACAGCAGACCUUGAAGAGGAAAUGGGCGUUUUACCACAGAUGUCCUCAACCCUCAAAGUGAGAGUCUACAUAGGCUCCAGAAACUCAGCCUGGCCAAGACCUCCAGGUUCCACUCCAAUGAGAGAGGGGCCGAAGCAGAUCUGGGGUAGAGGAUGGUCACCAGACUGUCAGGGUCUGCCCCUCCUCGCUAUAAAACACAUUUUGAGCUAAGAACCAGGCAGGGAAACAUAUGGGCAAAUAUGACAGACUGCUGAUAUGAACCCUUGAAGAUGGAGGGAGACUAGAGGGAGUUUCUGCAACUAUUUUGACCAUGGGACAAUAAAGGUCUUUUCACACUGCAUUGUUCUUAGCCCCGGGCUAGCUUAGCCCCAGGCUUGACUGGCCCUGAGAUAGCUUAGCCUGUGUUUCAGCAUUUGUUAGCCCUGGGCUAAGGAUUCACACUUGUAAUCCAAAGCCGUAGUUAACGGACAAAGACAUUAUAAGCAUUAUAAGCAAUUAACACGCAACCAAAGUUAUAAGCAAUUAAACAUCUAUUAACAGUACUUCCUUUUGCUUCUACUUGCCUUGCAUUUGAUUUCCAACAGUAUAUCUGCCUAUCCGCCAUGGGAAACAAUGUUUCACUUUUGAAAUUCGAUCUUACCCCUGUACAGAGAAUGAUGUGCACAAACGAGACAUCAACAUUCUAAUCCUAGAAAAAACACGCAACAAUAUUAUUAGCAUGGAUAUAUCCAAUUAAAUGUGAGCUCCUGCAAGUCAAACACUGCUCUUAGUCCUGGUCUAAGGUGCAGUGUGAAUGUGCCUUAACAUGUACAGCACAUUGCCUUUCAGAUGGCUAUAGAAAUUACAUUUAUUUUUUGUCUUGAUUGUGUGCCUUUCUUACUGAGUCUUCAUGUCAUGGAAACCUAUUUUAACUUUAUAAUAUUUUGUAUACAUUUCAGUGUCAAUUACUUAUUUUCCGCUUAUUGAUUGAAGGCAUAAUCAGAUUGAGUCACUAUCUAUGCAGUAAAUUAUCUGUUAGAAAACUA